rnacentral:rRNA from 1 species
GAUGAACGCUGGCGGCGUGCCUAAUACAUGCAAGUCGAGCGAACAGACGAGGAGCUUGCUCCUCUGACGUUAGCGGCGGACGGGUGAGUAACACGUGGAUAACCUACCUAUAAGACUGGGAUAACUUCGGGAAACCGGAGCUAAUACCGGAUAAUAUAUUUAACCGCAUGGUUCAAUAGUGAAAGACGGUUUUGCUGUCACUUAUAGAUGGAUCCGCGCCGCAUUAGCUAGUUGGUAAGGUAACGGCUUACCAAGGCGACGAUGCGUAGCCGACCUGAGAGGGUGAUCGGCCACACUGGAACUGAGACACGGUCCAGACUCCUACGGGAGGCAGCAGUAGGGAAUCUUCCGCAAUGGGCGAAAGCCUGACGGAGCAACGCCGCGUGAGUGAUGAAGGUCUUCGGAUCGUAAAACUCUGUUAUUAGGAAAGAACAAAUGUGUAAGUAACUAUGCACGUCUUGACGGUACCUAAUCAGAAAGCCACAGCUAACUACGUG